AGGAAGUAAAAGUCGUAACAAGGUCUCCGUUGGUGAACCAGCGGAGGGAUCAUUACUGAGUUUACGCUCUAUAACCCUUUGUGAACAUACCUAUAACUGUUGCUUCGGCGGGUAGGGUCUCCGUGACCCUCCCGGCCUCCCGCCCCCGGGCGGGUCGGCGCCCGCCGGAGGAUAACCAAACUCUGAUUUAACGACGUUUCUUCUGAGUGGUACAAGCAAAUAAUCAAAACUUUUAACAACGGAUCUCUUGGUUCUGGCAUCGAUGAAGAACGCAGCGAAAUGCGAUAAGUAAUGUGAAUUGCAGAAUUCAGUGAAUCAUCGAAUCUUUGAACGCACAUUGCGCCCGCCAGCAUUCUGGCGGGCAUGCCUGUUCGAGCGUCAUUUCAACCCUCAAGCUCUGCUUGGUGUUGGGGCCCUACAGCUGAUGUAGGCCCUCAAAGGUAGUGGCGGACCCUCCCGGAGCCUCCUUUGCGUAGUAACUUUACGUCUCGCACUGGGAUCCGGAGGGACUCUUGCCGUAAAACCCCCAAUUUUCCAAAGGUUGACCUCGGAUCAGGUAGGAAUACCCGCUGAACUUAAGCAUAUCAAUAAGC
rnacentral:rRNA from 1 species